GAUGAACGCUGGCGGCGUGCCUAAUACAUGCAAGUCGAGCGAACGGACGAGAAGCUUGCUUUUCUGAUGUUAGCGGCGGACGGGUGAGAAACACGUGGAUAACCUACCUAUAAGACUGGGAUAACUUCGGGAAACCGGAGCUAAUACCGGAUAAUAUUUUGAACCGCAUGGUUCAAAAGUGAAAGACGGUCUUGCUGUCACUUCUAGAUGGAUCCGCGCUGCAUUAGCUAGUUGGUAAGGUAACGGCUUACCAAGGCAACGAUGCAUAGCCGACCUGAGAGGGUGAUCGGCGACACUGGAACUGGGACACGGUCCAGACUCCUACGGGAGGCAGCAGUAGGGAAUCGUCCGCAAUGGGCGAAAGCCUGACGGAGCAACGCCGCGUGAGUGAUGAAGGUCUUCGGAUCGUAAAACUCUGUUAUUAGGGAAGAACAUAUGUGUAAGUAACUGUGCACAUCUUGACGGUACCUAAUCAGAAAGCCACGGCUAACUACGUG
rnacentral:rRNA from 1 species